ACUAGAUGUGGAACAAGGAUGACUGGACUGCUACUCACAUCUCCAGGGAGGCUACCUGGAAAACAGGACCCAAAGAAAGACACGGGGAUUGCCCAAUGACAGAGAAUUGGAAGAGAUCUACAUGAACAGCCUGGACAUGAGUGGGGAUGAGCAAUCAAGGCUAAAACAACUCAUAGAUGUCACAAGGAUGCUUUCCAUUGAAAUUUGAACUCUACUGCUGGCACCAUUCUGUCUCCCAACAUGGAAGGCUGAAGCAGAUGAUUAAUAGCUGGGGCUGAGCUUUGGAAUCACAUCUCUGUUCUCUAGCAUCCAGCCCCCAUGGCCAAGCCCAUCUUUAACGGAACAUCGAAUUUGCUACGCACUGACUAUAAAGGCACUAAUGAGGGGAGUGCAUUAGUUUUCUUGUGCUGCUAUGUGAAACCCAAGAAACUACAAUUUAAACAACAGAAGUGACUUCCCUAACAUCCUAGAGGCUGGAAGUCUGAGACCAAGGGCUGACCAUGGUUAUUUUCUGGUGAGGUCUUUCUCGCUGUCAUUGCUUAGUGAACUUGUUCUCACUGGUUCCUCACACUAGCUUCCAGUGUGUACUUCUGCCUUUUACAAGGACUCUAGUCCCAUGGGAUUAGAGUUAUAGCUAAUGAGCUCAUUUAACCUUAAUUACUUCCUUCAUGGCUGUGUCUAAAUAUAGUCACACUGGGUGUUAGGGCCUCAACAUACAGAUCAAGACACAUAAUUAGUCCAUAAUGAACUUAAUGAAGAAAUAUUAGUGGCAAUCCAAAAGAUACACUUUCUGUGUCACUAUUUUGGGAAAAUGUUUGCUUCUACUUUUUUAAGUCCAUGCAAUUUACAUUUAAACAUUUUUACUAUAUAUUCUUUGUAUAUAGUAUUAUGUUAAUAAAGACAUUUUACAUGUA